rnacentral:rRNA from 1 species
AAAUUUCUUCUAAAGCUAAAUAUUGGCGAGAGACCGAUAGCGCACAAGUAGAGUGAUCGAAAGAUGAAAAGCACUUUGGAAAGAGAGUUAAAAAGCACGUGAAAUUGUUGAAAGGGAAGCGCUUGCAAUCAGACUUGUUUAAACUGUUCGGCCGGUCUUCUGACCGGUUUACUCAGUUUGGACAGGCCAGCAUCAGUUUCGGCGGCCGGAUAAAGGCUCUGGGAAUGUGGCCUUCACUUCGGUGAAGGUGUUAUAGCCCAGGGUGUAAUACGGCCAGCCGGGACUGAGGUCCGCGCUUCGGCUAGGAUGCUGGCGUAAUGGUUGUAAGCGACCCGUCUUGAAACACGGACCAAGGAGUCUAACAUCUAUGCGAGUGUUCGGGUGUCAAACCCCUGCGCGUAAUGAAAGUGAACGGAGGUGGGAACCGCAAGGUGCACCAUCGACCGAUCCUGAUGUCUUCGGAUGGAUUUGAGUAAGAGCAUAGCUGUUGGGACCCGAAAGAUGGUGAACUAUGCCUGAAUAGGGUGAA